rnacentral:rRNA from 1 species
AUUGAACGCUGGCGGAAUGCUUUACACAUGCAAGUCGAGCGGCAGCGCGGGGCAACCUGGCGGCGAGCGGCGAACGGGUGAGUAAUACAUCGGAACGUACCCAGUUGUGGGGGAUAGCCCGGCGAAAGCCGGAUUAAUACCGCAUACGACCUACGGGUGAAAGGGGGGGAUCGCAAGACCUCUCGCUAUCGGAGCGGCCGAUGUCAGAUUAGGUAGUUGGUGGGGUAAAAGCCUACCAAGCCAACGAUCUGUAGCUGGUCUGAGAGGACGACCAGCCACACUGGGACUGAGAGACGGCCCAGACUCCUACGGGAGGCAGCAGUGGGGAAUUUUGGACAAUGGGCGCAAGCCUGAUCCAGCCAUGCCGCGUGCGGGAAGAAGG